GACGAACGCUGGCGGCGUGCUUAACACAUGCAAGUCGAACGGAAAGGCCCUGCUUUUGUGGGGUGCUCGAGUGGCGAACGGGUGAGUAACACGUGAGUAACCUGCCCUUGACUUUGGGAUAACUUCAGGAAACUGGGGCUAAUACCGGAUAGGAGCUCCUGCUGCAUGGUGGGGGUUGGAAAGUUUCGGCGGUUGGGGAUGGACUCGCGGCUUAUCAGCUUGUUGGUGGGGUAGUGGCUUACCAAGGCUUUGACGGGUAGCCGGCCUGGGAGGGUGACCGGCCACAUGGGGACUGCGAUACGGCCCAGAAUCCUACGGGAGGCAGCAGUGGGGAAUAUUGCACAAUGGGCGGAAGCCUGAUGCAGCAACGCCGCGUGCGGGAUGACGGCCUUCGGGUUGUAAACCGCUUUCGCCUGUGACGAAGCGUGAGUGACGGUAAUGGGUAAAGAAGCACCGGCUAACUACGUG
rnacentral:rRNA from 1 species